AGCGGGGACGAGGACGAGGGGACGCUGCCACCGCCCUGGAUGCUGGAGACCAUCGUGGUGCGGCUGGCAGAGUGUGUCAGCGAGGAGGACCCCAAAGGUGUCGGUGUCCCUGCGCUGUCCCCUCCCCUGGGCCCCUGUGCCCUGGGCCCCAUCUUCUGGUGCUCGGGCCCGGAGGCCGCCCGGCGCUGCCAGGCCCUGCAGCACUGCCAGGAGCACAUCUGGCUGUAGGGGGGCACCAGGACCCCCCAGCAUUGCACAAUAAAGUCUGGAUGCACCUCA